ACCGGCUCUCUGCCCCGGCUGGCGAGCACCGCCGCCCUUCGGCCCGCGCACAGCGCUGUGUCGGCGCCACUGCGCCUCCUCGCCCCGAAUGCUGGCAUCUCUGUACAAUGCGAAAUGCACCGCGGCCAGCUAAACUACCCCCGCCGCUGUGGGGCUCGCUGCCUCGCGGAUCAUUUGCACGGUGUUCCGUGGGGAAACCAGCGAUCUGCCCAGGGCUUUGGGGGAGCUGGGGAUCAUGUUGGCACCGUGCCGAGUUCCAGACCCGUAAUAUCCGCACUUUUUAAAACAGACGGACGGACGGACAAACAAAAACCCUCCCAUUGUCCCGGUCCUGCUUUGAGCAGGGGGUUGGACUAGAUGAUCUCCUGAGGUCCCUUCCAACCCUGAUAUCCUAUGAUUCUAUGUCUCCGCCAUCUCGCUCACAGAUCUGGGCCCUGCAAGAGCUCAGCGCAGUGUUCAGGGGUGUUGCUGAUGCAGGACAUAUCAUUCUCCUGUGUUUGCAGAGCUCAAAGGGAUGGUGACGAUGGGGAGAAGUUUUUUCACAUAACUGGAUGCUGAUGGAUGUAGCGCCCCCUCCCCUCCCCACCCCCUCCCAAAAAAGCCAGGCGGCUGCUGGCAUUCACAGAGCAGCUCCACACAAGGAUCACUGCAUCCGGGCUCAAGAAAUGAGCAUUGAUUGGUGGAAUACAUCAUAAUGCACUUUUGAGACGACUGGGGGGGUUGUAGAAGUUUUGAGUUCAAAAGGCUGCGUUCCUGGAUGUGUGAGCCAAGCUUGCACCAGACAGACAAUCCACGGACCCCAAAUGAGAGCUGCAUUGAGAAGCGAGUGGCAGUCGUGCUGUGGAAGGUUGCAACACCAGAUUGCUUUCAGUCAGUGGCGUCUGUUUGGAAUUGGAAAAAUCACAGAGGGGGCCAUUGUUAUCCAAGUGUGUAGGGCUGUUAAAUAUCUCCUGCUACGCAGGACUGUGAAUCUUGGUAAAAUACAAGAAGUAGUGGAUGGAUUCAUAUCACUGGGGUUCCAGAACUCAGGUGGGGUGAUAGCACACACAUCCCUCUUCUGGCUCUAACCCACUUUGCCACCAAGUAUAUCAACAGAAAGGGAUAUUGUUUUCAUGGUUAUAUAACUGCUAGUGAAUCACUGAUGAUCUGUCACUGAUAUCAAGGUAGACUGGUUAGGGAAGGUGCAUGAUGUUUGCACGUUUAAGAACAUGUGCUUUAAAAAAAAACUGCAAGAAGGGACAUUUUCCCCAAUGGGCAGAUUACCAUAGGUGUUAUUGAAAUGCCGAUAUUGAUCCUGGUGCAAUACAGCCUACCCCUUGCUCCUCUGGCUCAUGAAUUUGUACACUGGUCACCUUGGCAGCAUCAAGGAAAGAUUCAACUACCAUCUCAACAGGUGCAGAAUGACUGUUGAAUAUGCUUUUGGUAUAUUGAAUGGACACUAGCAUGGCUUAUUUAGUAGAUUGGAUCUCAGAGAGGAGAAAUAUCCUCCGAGUUAUAGCUGCAUGGUGUGUAAUGCAUUAUAGCUGUGAGACAAAGGGUAAAAGCUGCCAUCGGGAUGAAGGGUUGGCAUGAAUAGGCUGCUGAAUUUGAACAGCAAGAGACAAGGGCUAGUGGAACAGCCAACUGUAGAGCUAUACAGCUGAGGGAGAUCUUAAAAGGCCAGUUUGUCAGUCAGCCACAAUGGUGUUGUCUAAUGUUAUUACAUAACGCCUCUUGGGUGUUCUUACUAUGGGUGGGGCUUUGCUUCCUGCUAUUCACUGUAGUUCCUGAUGUAAACUAAUAAUGAUACGGAGUCUCCAAAAAAUAGAACUUCAUUAUGUGCAGAGAACAAAGUUAAGUGUAACAAACAAAUGCUAAGUUUAAAAAAAUCUUUUUACCAACACUGUGACUUCGAAAUCCCAAUUGAAAACAGAGGUAGGGCAGGGAACAUUUAUGUCCAUGUAUCUGAAACCUGCAACAACAUGGCUACAUAUACGCUGCCCUGUGGUUUUCACAGGUACCAGUGUAUGUGUAGCUAUUGUUCUCCUUGUUCAGUGUGGAGUGAUAGGCAUAAGGAUGUACACCAUGGUGGUGUGGGAGUGUAGUGAGCAGCGACUAUUUUUAAACAAGGAGAAAGGUGGGGGAAGGAGAAAGAGAUGAGCACACACUGGGAAAAAAUUGACAAGCUUGCAGUUAUGUAAGUAAACCACAAGAAUGUGAUAACGGAGUCCUUCAUCUAUUAACUAAUUAGGUCUUCUGCUCUUUUGUAUCUUUCUUAGGCACCAAUACACUUUAAUUUAUUUGUUCUUUCAGAGCCAAGUAUAUUACAAAAUUGGACCAAACCAAUAAUUGAAAAUAGUAAUAAUAAUAAUAAUAAUCCCCCCAAUUGAACAAUAAGAAACACUUGCCUGAUGCUCAACUGGGUGGACAGGACUGCAGAGCCUUUGCUAUUUUUUUUAAAGUUCUAAAUCAUUGUUUUUUCUGUGAUUUUUAGUUCUAAAAAUUUCAACCAUUUUGAUGCAAAAAGCUGUGACUCAACAUCCUUCACAAAUAUAGGCUUGUGGUAAAAACCUGGAUCUUUAACUUUUACAUUCCAUCAGAAACUUUCAUCUUUUUUCUGGCUUGACCUUUGUAUUUUGGCUCAGUAACAGGUUUCUCUGAAUCAUUUUCAGUUUGUCCUUGUGUUGUUCCAUUUCUUAGUUAAUUACAUCAGACCAAAUUUCCACUGAGACUUCAGUGAUUUGUAAUCUGUUGAGUCUGUCUGAGUAGGUCUCACUUCCAUGGGCUCUGUAGACUCCCCCCAGCUCAACAGCUUCGGACUUGCAAGGCUCAUGUUAGUACCCUACAAAUAGAUGUGUAGACAGUGUUUUGAGGUUGCGACUUUGGCUUUGAAGCUUAUGGAGGGCUCCUUUCUGAGGCACAACUUUAAAGCACAGUCUACACAGCUAUUUUAGAUCACUAUUCCAAGUCUGUCAACCUGGACUAGGAGGCUCACUUCUGCAGCUGUGUAGACAUACCCUCUAAAUUUGCUUUUUAGUGCCAUGUGAAAAAUGUGCUUUUUUUAAAAAUCUAUGGCCUUAUCAUAUAUAUGCAAAUUCCAACAUUAUUUAUGGUAGCUGGAUGCAGCUAUGGAGAGAGAAACUUUUUGAGAAUUCUGCCAUCUGUCUUGGAGAAACUGGGACAUUAAGUCCCAUUUUUUUCAACCAAAAUGAAUCUGAUGGUGGUUACAGAACUUUUGAAUGCAUUUUAGAACUGUUAGGUAUUCUCUCUUCCUCAGUGAGGUUCAAAUACUGUGGUGAACACUCAUAUAUCAGAAGCUAAGGAUGAAUCUACCUGAGACCUUCACUCAUCUUUUUCACUUUACUUUUAUUGCCAGAGCCAAUGGCAAAGACUUCCUCGGGAUAUUUCUCUUCGUAUUCUUGGAUGGUAUCUUCAGCAGCUUGGACACAAUAUUCUCCUUUUUUCUAUUUAGAAAUAAACUCAGUAGCAUUCAUUGGGAUUGUAGUUUUCUAAGAAUGGCUGCUUAUAGCUGUUGGAGGGUCAUUUUUCAUGUUUCAUCAUCCUUCCUUAAUAUCAACGCUGAUCCUUUUAGUCCUUCCUUUACUAUUUCUCUGUUUCUAUUGAAGUGCUUAACUCUGCAGUGAAGAUAUAGCUUUAACUUGCAUUAUUUAAAGUUACGUCUCCUGAGCUAGGCUAACUUGAGUGAAUGGGACCCACUUGGACUUGUCUUCACUGCAAAGUUAACUCAACACAGAACUUGAGUGUUAUGCUAACAUGAGGCCCUCAUCCACAGAGACAAACUCUGAACUUGAAUGUGGUGGUGCUUUUAAUCCUUGUUGGCUGUCUCAUUGGAGGGUAUAGGCUAACACUUGAGUUAGCACAACUCAUCAGCUGCUAAUUUGUGUCCACAGCUACAGAGUGUCUUAUCUCCCUUCAAGUGCUGCUAGUCCUCCAGCACUUUCCCACAAUUCCUCCCAUGUGCCCAGGAAAUAUAGAAAAGUCCUCCCACAAUUCACUGGGAAAGAAUUCCUGGAGCAAUUCAGCUAACUACAACAUUAAAAACCCUGGAUAUACACCCAGAAGUCUUAGGCUAUGUUGUUACUGACAAAAAUGGUAUGUUUUUACCACAGGAUAACUAACAGAUAUGUUAGCUAUACUGCUGUAAAAUCCCAGUGGAGAUAAGGCACUACUUUUAUUUAAAAGUAAACUAGGUGAGGUCAACUACAGACAGGAAUAUAGUGUUGGCCUUACCUAGGUAUCUCGCGAUAAACAAUAAAAGUGCUUUGUCUGUACUUAGGAUUUUACAGUGGGAUAAAUGUUGUCUGUUAUCUAGCGUAAACAAACAAAAAC